rnacentral:rRNA from 1 species
UACGUAGGGUGCAAGCGUUGUCCGGAAUUAUUGGGCGUAAAGAGCUCGUAGGCGGUUCGUCGCGUCGGCUGUGAAAUCCCGAGGCUCAACCUCGGGUCUGCAGUCGAUACGGGCGGACUGGAGUUCGGCAGGGGAGACUGGAAUUCCUGGUGUAGCGGUGAAAUGCGCAGAUAUCAGGAGGAACACCGGUGGCGAAGGCGGAUCUCUGGGCCAUUACUGACGCUGAGGAGCGAAAGCGUGGGGAGCGAACAGG